GCUCCUUCGGGGGUGGAUCAGUGGCGAACGGGUGAGUAACACGUGGGCAACCUGCCCCUAGCUCUGGGAUAACUCCGGGAAACCGGGGCUAAUACUGGAUAUGAUCACUGGCCGCAUGGUCUGGUGGUGGAAAGUUUUUCGGCUAGGGAUGGGCCCGCGGCCUAUCAGCUUGUUGGUGGGGUGAUGGCCUACCAAGGCGACGACGGGUAGCCGGCCUGAGAGGGCGACCGGCCACACUGGGACUGAGACACGGCCCAGACUCCUACGGGAGGCAGCAGUGGGGAACAUUGCGCAAUGGGCGAAAGCCUGACGCAGCGACGCCGCGUGAGGGAUGACGGCCUUCGGGUUGUAAACCUCUUUCAGCUCCGACGAAGCGAAAGUGACGGUAGGGGCAGAAGAAGCACCGGCCAACUACGUGCCAGCAGCCGCGGUAAUACGUAGGGUGCAAGCGUUGUCCGGAAUUAUUGGGCGUAAAGAGCUCGUAGGCGGUUUGUCGCGUCGGCUGUGAAAACUCGGGGCUCAACUCCGAGCCUGCAGUCGAUACGGGCAGACUUGAGUGCUGUAGGGAGACUGGAAUUCCUGGUGUAGCGGUGAAAUGCGCAGAUAUCAGGAGGAACACCGGUGGCGAAGGCGGGUCUCUGGGCAGUAACUGACGCUGAGGAGCGAAAGCGUGGGGAGCGAACAGGAUUAGAUACCCUGGUAGUCCACGCCGUAAACGUUGGGCGCUAGGUGUGGGUUUCCUUCCACGGGAUCCGUGCCGCAGCUAACGCAGUAAGCGCCCCGCCUGGGGAGUACGGCCGCAAGGCUAAAACUCAAAGGAAUUGACGGGSGCCCSCACMAGCGGCGGAGCAUGUGGCUUAAUUCGACGCAACGCGAAGAACCUUACCAAGGCUUGACAUACACCGAAAACUCGCAGAGAUGCGAGGUCCUUUUGGGCGGUGUACAGGUGGUGCAUGGUUGUCGUCAGCUCGUGUCGUGAGAUGUUGGGUUAAGUCCCGCAACGAGCGCAACCCUCGUUCUAUGUUGCCAGCGGGUUAUGCCGGGSACUCMYASGAGMCUGCCGGGGUCAACUCGGAGGAAGGUGGGGACGACGUCAAAUCAUCAUGCCCCUUAUGUCUUGGGCUGCACACAUGCUACAAUGGCCGGUACAAAGGGCUGCGAAACCGUGAGGUGGAGCGAAUCCCAAAAAGCCGGUCUCAGUUCGGAUUGGGGUCUGCAACUCGACCCCAUGAAGUCGGAGUCGCUAGUAAUCGCAGAUCAGCA
rnacentral:rRNA from 1 species